GCCCGCUCAGAAACUUAAAGGAAUUGACGGGACCCCGCACAAGCGGUGGAUCAUGUUGUUUAAUUUCGAUGAUACGCGAAGAACCUUACCAGGUCUUGACAUCCCCCGCGAUGCUUUAGAGAUAAAGCGGAGGUAUUCGGGGAGACAGGUGGUGCAUGGUUGUCGUCAGCUCGUGUCGUGAGAUGUUGGGUUAAGUCCCGCAACGAGCGCAACCCCUAUUGCUAGUUACCAUCAUUAAGUUGGGGACUCUAGCGAGACUGCCAGUGAUAAACUGGAGGAAGGUGGGGAUGACGUCAAAUCAUCAUGCCCCUUAUGACCUGGGCUACAAACGUGAUACAAUGGCUGGAACAAAGGGAUGCGAAGCAGUGAUGUGGAGCGAAACCCAUAAAAACAGUCUCAGUUCGGAUUGAAGUCUGCAACUCGACUUCAUGAAGUCGGAAUCGCUAGUAAUCGCGGAUCAGAACGCCGCGGUGAAUACGUUCUCGGGGUUU
rnacentral:rRNA from 1 species